rnacentral:rRNA from 1 species
GAUGAACGCUGGCGGCGUGCCUAAUACAUGCAAGUCGAGCGAACAGACGAGGAGCUUGCUCCUCUGACGUUAGCGGCGGACGGGUGAGUAACACGUGGAUAACCUACCUAUAAGACUGGGAUAACUUCGGGAAACCGGAGCUAAUACCGGAUAAUAUAUUGAACCGCAUGGUUCAAUAGUGAAAGACGGUUUUGCUGUCACUUAUAGAUGGAUCCGCGCCGCAUUAGCUAGUUGGUAAGGUAACGGCUUACCAAGGCAACGAUGCGUAGCCGACCUGAGAGGGUGAGCGGCCACACUGGAACUGAGACACGGUCCAGACUCCUACGGGAGGCAGCAGUAGGGAAUCUUCCGCAAUGGGCGAAAGCCUGACGGAGCAACGCCGCGUGAGUGAUGAAGGUCUUCGGAUCGGAAAACUCUGUUAUUAGGGAAGAACAAAUGUGUAAGUAACUAUGCACGUCUUGACGGUACCUAAUCAGAAAGCCACGGCUAACUACGUG